AACGAACGCUGGCGGCAGGCUUAACACAUGCAAGUCGAACGCCCCGCAAGGGGAGUGGCAGACGGGUGAGUAACACGUGGGAACAUGCCCAAAGGUACGGAAUAUUCUCGGGAAACUGGGAGCAAUACCGUAUGUGCCCGAAAGGGGAAAGAUUUAUCGCCUUUGGAUUGGCCCGCGUUGGAUUAGCUAGUUGGUGGGGUAAAAGCCUACCAAGGCGACGAUCCAUAGCUGGUCUGAGAGGACGACCAGCCACACUGGGACUGAGACACGGCCCAGACUCCUAUGGGAGGCAGCAGUGGGGAAUCUUGGACAAUGGGCGCAAGCCUGAUCCAGCCAUGCCGCGUGGAUGAUGAAGGCCCUAGGGUUGUAAAAUCCUUUCGUUGGGGACGAUAAUGACGGUACCCAAAGAAGAAGCUCCGGCUAACUUCGUGCCAGCAGCCGCGGUAA
rnacentral:rRNA from 1 species